rnacentral:lncRNA from 1 species
CCUUGCUCCUGGUCACGCUGGAUCCAGAUUUUGAGGCCACUUUCCCUCCUAUACCUCAACUCAGGAAAGAAACAAUGCGGGGAGCUGUCCCUAGGGAGCGAGAGCUCAGGCUUGGCCCCAGCCUCAACCACCGCUGCCCCAACCCAACCCGCGCCGAGCCCCUGGCCUGAGGGUGUGGGAACCCCAGCUGCUGAAGGAGCUGCAUACAGGUGUCUGGAGGCGCCUCUCAAGUCAGCCAGCGUGGCAGUCACAGGAAGGGAGGACAGCAGAUGAUUACAGGGAAGAUUUCAGGAGGCCAGGCCUGGAAGAGGCGUCCAUCACUCCUGCUCACGUCUGCAGAACAGAAUGCAGUGAUACAAUCCCAGUUCACUGAAGUGUCAACCUCCUGGGCUCAACUGAUCCUCCUACCUUAGCCUCCCGAGUAUAUGGGACCACAGGCGCACGCCACCAUACCUAAUUUUUAAUUUUUAUUAGAAAUGAAAUCUCACUCUGUUGCCCAGGCUGGUCUCAAACUCCUGAGCUCAAUCGAUCCUCCCACCUCAGUCUCCCAAUGUGCUGGGAUGACAGGAAUGAGCCACCGUGCCUGGCCUGCAAGUGCUUAGUACCUUUGUUCAUGUAUAUGUGUAUGAGUGACACUGAACUGUAAUUUUGAUAUCCAGAUUACACUCACUUCAG